rnacentral:rRNA from 1 species
UACGAACUGUGCGAACGUUAUUCGGAAUCACUGGGCUUACAGGGUGCGUAGGCGGCUUUUCAAGUCAGGUGUGAAAGCCCCCGGCUCAACCGGGGAAUUGCGCUUGAAACUGGAGAGCUCGAGUCAGCUAGAGGUGCACGGAACUUCCAGUGGAGCGGUGAAAUGUGUUGAUAUUGGAAGGAACACCGGAGGCGAAAGCGGUGCACUGGGGCUGGUCUGACGCUGAGGGACGAAAGCUAGGGGAGCGAAUGGG